ensembl:snRNA U2 U2 spliceosomal RNA
AUCGCUUCUCGGCCUUUUGGCUAAGAUCAAGCAUAAUAUCUUUACAUUCGCACUGUUAAGUUUAUUGGUAUAAGGCUUCAUAGUAAUGUUUUACCUAUAGUGUGUAUAGAAUCCUUCAUACACACACACAAACAUUAUGAAUAUAUGUUUGAAAUUUAU